CAAAAAGAGGGGGGGUAUUGUCUUGUGUUGGAUGAUGGGAAUUUAAACCUCUUCCAGAGUAUCAAUUGGAGGGCAAGUCUGGUGCCAGCAGCCGCGGUAAUUCCAGCUCCAGUAGCGUAUAUUAAAAUUGUUGCAGUUAAAAAGCUCGUAGUUGAAUUUCUGCUGCAUUGCAUCUUCUUUUUGAUGAGUUGGUGUAUUGGGGCUUAUUUCAAAUGAUACUUGUAUUAUCCGGAUGAUUACUUUGAAAAAAUUACAGUGGUCAAAGCAGGCUUUUGCCUUGAAUAGUUUAGCAUGAAAUAAUAAAGUAGGACUUUGGUUCUAUUUUGUUGGUUUUAGGUACCAAAGUAAUGGUUAAUAGGAUCCAGUGGGGGUG
rnacentral:rRNA from 1 species